GAGUUUGAUCCUGGCUCAGGAUGAACGCUAGCUACAGGCUUAACACAUGCAAGUCGAGGGGCAGCAUGGUCUUAGCUUGCUAAGGCCGAUGGCGACCGGCGCACGGGUGAGUAACACGUAUCCAACCUGCCGUCUACUCUUGGACAGCCUUCUGAAAGGAAGAUUAAUACAAGAUGGCAUCAUGAGUCCGCAUGUUCACAUGAUUAAAGGUAUUCCGGUAGACGAUGGGGAUGCGUUCCAUUAGAUAGUAGGCGGGGUAACGGCCCACCUAGUCUUCGAUGGAUAGGGGUUCUGAGAGGAAGGUCCCCCACAUUGGAACUGAGACACGGCCCAAACUCCUACGGGAGGCAGCAGUGAGGAAUAUUGGUCAAUGGGCGAGAGCCUGAACCAGCCAAGUAGCGUGAAGGAUGACUGCCCUAUGGGUUGUAAACUUCUUUUAUAAAGGAAUAAAGUCGGGUAUGCAUACCCGUUUGCAUGUACUUUAUGAAUAAGGAUCGGCUAACUCCGUGCCAGCAGCCGCGGUAAUACGGAGGAUCCGAGCGUUAUCCGGAUUUAUUGGGUUUAAAGGGAGCGUAGAUGGAUGGUCAAGUCAGUUGUGAAAGUUUGCGGCUCAACCGUAAAAUUGCAGUUGAUACUGGAUAUCUUGAGUGCAGUUGAGGCAGGCGGAAUUCGUGGUGUAGCGGUGAAAUGCUUAGAUACCACGAAGAACUCCGAUUGCGAAGGCAGCCUGCUAAGCUGCAACUGACAUUGAGGCUCGAAAGUGUGGGUAUCAAACAGGAUUAGAUACUCUGGUAGUCCACACGGUAAACGAUGAAUACUCGCUGUUUGCGAUAUACAGCAAGCGGCCAAGCGAAAGCGUUAAGUAUUCCACCUGGGGAGUACGCCGGCAACGGUGAAACUCAAAGGAAUUGACGGGGGCCCGCACAAGCGGAGGAACAUGUGGUUUAAUUCGAUGAUACGCGAGGAACCUUACCCGGGCUUAAAUUGCAGAUGAAUUACGGUGAAAGCCGUAAGCCGCAAGGCAUCUGUGAAGGUGCUGCAUGGUUGUCGUCAGCUCGUGCCGUGAGGUGUCGGCUUAAGUGCCAUAACGAGCGCAACCCUUGUUGUCAGUUACUAACAGGUUCUGCUGAGGACUCUGACAAGACUGCCAUCGUAAGAUGUGAGGAAGGUGGGGAUGACGUCAAAUCAGCACGGCCCUUACGUCCGGGGCUACACACGUGCUACAAUGGGGGGUACAGAGGGCCGCUACCACGCGAGUGGAUGCCAAUCCCCAAAACCUCUCUCAGUUCGGACUGGAGUCUGCAACCCGACUCCACGAAGCUGGAUUCGCUAGUAAUCGCGCAUCAGCCACGGCGCGGUGAAUACGUUCCCGGGCCUUGUACACACCGCCCGUC
rnacentral:rRNA from 1 species